UAACAGUCUAAAGCAGCCGGGUGUGGUGGCCUGCACCAGUUGUCUCAGUUACUCGGGAGGCUGAGGCAGGAGGAUUGCUUGAGCCCAGGAGUUCAAGGCUGCAGUGAGCUAUGAUCACACCACUGCCCUCCAGCCUGGAAAACACAGCAAGGUCCUGUCUCUUAAAAACAAAAAGUCUAAAGUUCACCAGUUUCUCUCUCUUCCUUUCAAACAACAAAAGGACUAACAUUUCAACUAUCAACGUGCCUCUCCAGUUUUACAAGUUAUUGCUGCCCAGUAUUUCAGUUCUAAGGAUACAAUGUGUUUUUGGUAUUAUACACUGUGGGAUGAAUAUAUCAAGGGAUUCUCCAUCUGUAGAAUGAGAAUAAUAACUACUUGGAGUUGUGAAGAUAAAAUGAGCUACUGAUGUAUGUAAAUUUUAUCACUGUCUGGGUAAAUAUUCAACAAAUGGUGAAUAUUAUUUCUGCAUUUUGAAUCUUUUCAUUA
rnacentral:lncRNA from 1 species